rnacentral:rRNA from 1 species
AACGAACGCUGGCGGCGCGUCUUAAGCAUGCAAGUCGAACGGUAAGGGAGAGCUUGCUCUCCCCUAGAGUGGCGGACUGGUGAGUAACGCGUGGGUGACCUGCCCUGAAGAUGGGGAUAGCUAGUAGAAAUAUUAGAUAAUACCGAAUGUGCUCAUUUACAUAAAGGUAAAUGAGGAAAGGAGCUACGGCUCCGCUUCAGGAUGGGCCCGCGUCCCAUUAGCUAGUUGGUGAGGUAAAGGCCCACCAAGGCAACGAUGGGUAUCCGGCCUGAGAGGGUGAACGGACACAUUGGGACUGAGAUACGGCCCAAACUCCUACGGGAGGCAGCAGCUAAGAAUCUUCCGCAAUGGACGAAAGUCUGACGGAGCGACGCCGUGUGAAUGAAGAAGGCCGAAAGGUUGUAAAAUUCUUUUGCAGAUGAAGAAUAAGAAGAAGAGGGAAUGCUUCUUUGAUGACGGUAGUCAUGCGAAUAAGCCCCGGCUAAUUACGUGCCAGCAGCCGCGGUAACACGUAAGGGGCGAGCGUUGUUCGGAAUUAUUGGGCGUAAAGGGUAUGUAGGCGGUUAGGUAAGCCUGGUGUGAAAUCUACGAGCUCAACUCGUAAACUGCAUUGGGUACUGCUUGACUUGAAUCACGGAGGGGAAACCGGAAUUCCAAGUGUAGGGGUGGAAUCUGUAGAUAUUUGGAAGAACACCGGUGGCGAAGGCGGGUUUCUGGCCGAUGAUUGACGCUGAUAUACGAAGGUGCGGGGAGCAAACAGG